rnacentral:lncRNA from 1 species
AAGUAGAACAUUGAACAUUGGAGAAGACCCUAAAUGCUUAUUCAAUCUGAAUGCUUAUUCAUAACUUCAAAUGCAAGUGGAGAAGAUCCUAAAAUGAAUAUAUGUCGCUUGAUGUCCCAAAAUGGAAUGUAUUCCUCGUAGUCCCGAAAUUGAAUAUAUUCCUUGAAGUCGCUACAUUGAAUAUAUGUCCCUAAAUUGAGUUGUGAUGUCCCUCAAUGUCCCUAAAAUUGAUGGUUUGAAUGCAAUUUCAAUGUGAAUGCUUAUUCAUAGCUUCAAAUGUAAGUUGAGAAGGCUCUAAAUUGAAUAUAUGCCCUCGAUGUCUCGAAAUUGAAUAUAUUCCUCGAAGUCCCUAAAUUGAAUAUAUGUCCCUCGAUGUCCCUAAAUUGAGUUUAUGUCCCUCGAUGUCCCUAGCAUUGAUGGUUUGAAUGCAAUUUCAAUGUGAAUGCUUAUUCAUAACUUCAAAUGUAAGUGGAGAAAGACCCUAAAUUGAAUAUAUGUCCCUCGAUGUCCCAAAAUUGAAUAUAUUCCUCGAAUUCCCUAAAUUGAAUACAUGUCCUUGUCCCUCGAUGAUCCUAAAUUGAAUAUAUGUCCC